UACGUAGGGUGCGAGCGUUAAUCGGAAUUACUGGGCGUAAAGCGUGCGCAGGCGGUGAUGUAAGACAGAUGUGAAAUCCCCGGGCUCAACCUGGGACCUGCAUUUGUGACUGCAUCGCUGGAGUACGGCAGAGGGGGUGGAAUUCCACGUGUAGCAGUGAAAUGCGUAGAGAUGUGGAGGAACACCGAUGGCGAAGGCAGCCCCCUGGGCUAACACUGACGCUCAUGCACGAAAGCGUGGGGAGCAAACAGG
rnacentral:rRNA from 1 species